rnacentral:rRNA from 1 species
GGGCCCGCACAAGCAGCGGAGCAUGUGGUUUAAUUCGAAGCAACGCGAAGAACCUUACCAGGACUUGACAUCGUCUGCUAGUUCAAGAGAUUGGACCUUCCCUUCGGGGACAGAUAGACAGGUGGUGCAUGGUUGUCGUCAGCUCGUGUCGUGAGAUGUUGGGUUAAGUCCCGCAACGAGCGCAACCCCUGUAUUUAGUUGCCAUCAGGUAGAGCUGGGCACUCUAGAUAGACUGCCGUAGAGAAUACGGAGGAAGGUGGGGAUGACGUCAAAUCAUCAUGCCCCUUAUGUCCUGGGCUACACACGUGCUACAAUGGUCUGUACAACGGGAAGCGAAGGAGUGAUCUGAAGCCAAUCCCAAAAAACAGAUCCCAGUUCGGAUUGCAGGCUGCAACUCGCCUGCAUGAAGUCGGAGUUGCUAGUAAUCGCGGAUCAGCAUGCCGCGGUGAAUGCGUUCCCGGGCCUU